rnacentral:rRNA from 1 species
GUCAGCUCGUGUCGUGAGAUGUUGGGUUAAGUCCCGCAACGAGCGCAACCCUUGUCCUUAGUUGCUACGCAAGAGCACUCUAAGGAGACUGCCGGUGACAAACCGGAGGAAGGUGGGGAUGACGUCAAGUCCUCAUGGCCCUUAUGGGUAGGGCUUCACACGUCAUACAAUGGUCGGAACAGAGGGUCGCCAACCCGCGAGGGGGAGCCAAUCCCAGAAAACCGAUCGUAGUCCGGAUUGCACUCUGCAACUCGAGUGCAUGAAGCUGGAAUCGCUAGUAAUCGCGGAUCAGCAUGCCGCGGUGAAUACGUUCCCGGGUCUUGUACACACCGCCCGUCACACCAUGGGAGUGGGUUUUACCAGAAGUGGCUAGUCUAACCGCAAGGAGGACGGUCACCACGGUAGGAUUCAUGACUGGGGUGAAGUCGUAACAAGGUAGCCGUAUCGGAAGGUGCGGCUGGAUCACCUCCUUUCUCG